UUUUUCUUCAGGACAGUUAAAAGAGCAGG
rnacentral:piRNA from 1 species